rnacentral:rRNA from 1 species
GAUAAACGCUGGCGGCGUGCAUGAGACAUGCAAGUCGAACGGACGAUCGAGGCUUGCUUCGAUCGUUAGUGGCGGACGGCUGAGUAACGCGUAGGUGACCUGCCCCGAAGUGGGGAAUAACUGCCCGAAAGGGUGGCUAAUACCGCAUGUGGUGGUGUGUUCAAUCACACCAGUAAAGCCGCAAGGCGCUUCGGGAGGGGCCUGCGUCCGAUUAGCUCGUUGGUGGGGACGCUCACCAAGCGACGAUCGGUAGGUGGUCUGAGAGGACGAUCACCCAGACUGGGACUGAGACACGGCCCAGACUCCUACGGGAGGCAGCAGUCGGGAAUUUUGCGCAAUGGACGAAAGUACUGACGCAGCAACGCCGCGUGAGGA